rnacentral:rRNA from 1 species
AGUGAACGCUGGCGGUAGGCCUAGCACAUGCAAGUCGAACGGCAGCACAGUAAGAGCUUGCUCUUACGGGUGGCGAGUGGCGGACGGGUGAGGGAUACAUCGGAAUCUACUUUUUCGUGGGGGAUAACGUAGGGAAACUUACGCUAAUACCGCAUACGACCUACGGGUGAAAGCAGGGGAUCUUCGGACCUUGCGCGAUUGAAUGAGCCGAUGUCGGAUUAGCUAGUUGGCGGGGUAAAGGCCCACCAAGGCGACGAUCCGUAGCUGGUCUGAGAGGAUGAUCAGCCACACUGGAACUGAGACACGGUCCAGACUCCUACGGGAGGCAGCAGUGGGGAAUAUUGGACAAUGGGCGCAAGCCUGAUCCAGCCAUACCGCGUGGGUGAAGAAGGCCUUCGGGUUGUAAAGCCCUUUUGUUGGGAAAGAAAAGCAGCAGGUUAAUACCCCGCUGUUCUGACGGUACCCAAAGAAUAAGCACCGGCUAACUUCGUG